rnacentral:tRNA from 1 species
UUCUGUGGCUUAGUAGACUAAAGCGCCGGACUAGCCAUAUGGAGUCGUGGGUUCGAGUCCCACCAAAA